UUUAUUAUUUUACCUUAUGUUAACUGUUUUGUAAAGCGCUUUGUUACAGCUGCCGCUGUUGUGAAAGCGCUAUAUAAAUCAGCAUGUAUUGUAUUGUAUUCGAUUGUCAAGACAAUUCCAGUGUUACGUUCAGUUGACAUUUGCACAAAUUUGUGUUCCUAUUUUUUCAAAUGUCCCCCCCAGCAAAUCAUAGAUCUCAUUUUUUAGGAUCAAACAUCUGGGAAAUGUGUUUUGUGGUGCUCUGGGAACAAUUUCAAACCAUAAUUACAUGUCAAGAAUGCAGCAAGCAAUUACGGUAGCACAACAUAAUUAAGUUGAAGCAAAAUACUUUUUUUUUUAAGAAAG